CCUGCCCCACCACGUACUCGUAGCGUCCCGCACACUCCGUGCCCAGCCGCAAGUACCCUGCUCCUCCGUCAGGGACUGCCGCCUCCCUAAUGGUUCCCUCCUCCCCACCUCCCACCAUGUGCCCCCUUGACCCCCGCCCUGAGCCCCCCUCAGCCCACUCGUUGCCCGCAGAGCCCCUGGAGGGGAGAGGGGCAGCGUCGUCCGGCUUGCCGCCCCCCUUGGGGUGUGGUCCGCGCGGCGUCGAGGUGAGGUCACAGCGGGCAGGAGGAGGGAGGCAGGGAGAGCCCUGGAGCCCUUCGUUCUCUGCCUGCGCUGGGUCUUCUGUGCGGAUCCGGCUGAGGGCACAUGCCCCCCGGGGUGGAGCCAAGGUGGGAAGCCUGGGCCCCUGGAGAGCGGGCGGCGGGGUGCUGUAGGUACUCCUGCCGGGGUGACCGUGGCGAGAAAAAGGGCGGGAGCAGCAGCUGGGGACCCCCUGGCACUGCUGCCCGGUAGCUGGAAGGUGAGCCUAGCAGGGCCUGACACUGCCUCCAUCUGCUUGGGGGCCCCAGGGAGCGGUGGUGAGCUUUCCCAGAGCCCGGGAGGUGCAGACAAGCAGCCUGUGGGGCUGGAGAUGGACAGUCCGGAGCACUUGUCUAAUGCCCCCAUGGGGAAGAAGUCAGAACUGCCGCUGCCCCAAGAGCACAGGCAGCCCUCUCCCCCUCUGAGCCCGACUGUGGCCUGGGGCCAGCCCGGUGCCCAGAGCGAAGGGCAGCAGCCGCAGACUCAGGACUGGUAGUGACAGAACAUUCCCAGGGUGCUUGUGAUGGCCCCUAGAUGGAGGCACCUCUCCGCCCCCCUACCUCACGCCGGAUGGGUAAGCAGCUGCCGGGUUCCCACGGAGCCAUGAGGAGGGGACAGCCCCGGGGGGUGCUUCAGGAGCAGAGAAGCCAGAUGCCCAGAGUUCUGCGUGGAUCCCUGUGUGCAAGGGUCAGAGCCAGGCCGGACGCGUGCCAGGUGUGAUAGGGUGGGCACACGUGGUGCUGGUCAUGGGCCAGCAUGAGUGGGAGUCUGUCAGCCUGUGCGCUUAGACAGUGUGCGUGUGUGCUUGCCAUGGUCAGAGGUUCACAUAAGAAGGUGGCAGGAAAAGGGAAGGCAGGCUCCCUAGCUGCCCCCUGUGGCCACCGUGUGCUCUUCCCGCCCGAGUACCUGUGACGGCUGUGUGAGGGCACUGUGAGGGUCCUGGGGGGGCCAAAGCCGCAGACCACUCGACUUGCUGGACUAGCACAUAAACAUACAAGCGUGUCACCUGGCAGGAGGAAAUUCUCCUGGCAGCUCUUGGCCAGAGGCCACCCCCUCCCCAGCCCCCAAGCUUGAGGUUCUCAGAGGUGAGUGGGGGCCAGUGGGGCAGCAGGGGAGAGGGAAACAAGGGCCCGGUGGGAGGUAGCCAGGGGGAGGGAUUUGGGUGGAGGCCAGAUGAGGGUGCAGACUCAUCUCUGCAGACUCAGGUGUCUGGUUUGGGGGCAGGGAGCCCCUCUCCCUCCUGCUGCUUCCCUCCUCUGCUCCCAGCCCUUCAGGAAUGGCAGCUGUUCACUGCAGCUUUAAAGGAUUCCGUGGGCUACCCCGUGUCUCACUGUCCUGCAUGGUGUCCUUCCUGUGUGCUCCUUGGUGUAGAAUGCUGUUCCCAUCACCUGCAGCCUGGCUGACAUAAGUUAAGUCCACCUUUCCUUCCGUCCCUGUGUCAUCCCAUCCCAGGCCCCACAAGAGCUGUGUUCAUUUGCAGUGUUCACCAUGGCCCCCCGUUGCCCCACACAGUGAGGCCAUGUGCUCCUAAAGGGGCAGUGAGCUCAGGCUGAGGCCAAGGUCUAAGGGUCUAAGGGGACCUUUUCUGACGGAGGGUCUGCCAACAUCCAGCCCCUCACUGAGGGCUGGACAAGCUUACUGAAAUGACCGCAGAGAGUUCCGAAGAAGACAAGACCCCACAGACAGCACGGGAGGGCUGGCCAAUAGGAGUUGCGUUCUGGUGGGCCAUCGCAGACUGGCCAGAGCAGCAGGGCCCACUCCCCGCUGUGUGGUGGGGGCAGCAGAAACAGCUUGCUGCCCUAGCCACUGAGCCCCAGUCCACCCUCAUCGCUAAUCUGGUGUUGGUGUCCUGUCCAUACCACCUGACAGCUAAGGGCACCAGACAUUUGCACAAAACCUCUAUAAUGAAGGAGAGUAAAGCUGGAGACAACCGCAGCAGUGCCGAGCAGAGCAGAACGGGGCUGCCGGCGAGUCGUGUGUGCCAUCUUGGAAGAAUUGGCCCACCGAGCCAAGCGAGAGGGAUAUGAACACGGGACAGCAGCACCACGGGGGACGUGACCGUGCUGUUCAGUGUGGGAGACUGGACCAGAACCGGUCCACAGCAGAGGUUCGGGAAGAGUCCACACAGCUGUGUGCAAAGCAGUGCCCUGCAUGGUUAGGAACAGACUCCAGAAGAAAAGUGAAAAAGGCCAACCUGAAAAUGGGAGUGAACUUGAUAGGAAAUAGGCAACCCUACUAGGGAAACUUUAAAACACCCCGAAGCCUUAGACUUGACAGCAGGGAGAGACACCCCAUUCUCGGAGGGGAAAACUCCCGGCGCCAAGGGUCCUCCUCAGGCAUCUCACAGUCCAGUGUCAUCAACAAUACAGAUGCUAAGUACUGGGGGCACCUGGUCAGAAGAGCAUUUGACGCCUGAUCUCGGGGUCAUGGGUUCCAGCCCCCUGUUGGGUGUAGGGAUCAUUUAAAAAAUAUAUAUAUAUGGUAAAUGUUUUCUCUUCUUCAGUAUGCCAAACUGGUAAAAUAGAAAAAAUAAUCCAAAAUAGGUUCAGUCCUAGCAAAUGUGAAUUCAUAUCACAAAGGAAGAGUCCUGGCCUGUGAUGCAUGAAUAUCAGGACUGGAAAGAAAGUCUGGAAACGGACCCGAAUGCCCGCAGACACUUAGUGCGGGACGAAGAUGGCAUCUCAGAUCAGUGGGGCAGAGGGGCUUCCAGUAAGUCAUGGGGGCCACGGUGUAGCUGUGUACAAGACCGACAGUUGUCCCCGUGCCUCUCACUGAGCACCAAGCUGAGCCCCAGCGGCAUAGGGCCAGCCUUUCCAACCUAGCACCUGGGGGGCUCGGUGGGUGAAGCGUCUGCCUUCGGCUCAGGGCGUGAUCGUGAUCCCGGGUCCUGGGAUCGAGUCCCACGUCGGGCUCCCUGCUCCACGGAGAGCCUGCUUCUCCCUCUCUCUCUGCGCCCCUCUCGUGCUCUCGCGCUCUGUCCAAUAAAUAGUAAAUCUUUAAUAAAGAGAAGUACCAGCAAGGA